AUAAGCGGAGGAAAAGAAACCAACAGGGAUUGCCUCAGUAACGGCGAGUGAAGCGGCAACAGCUCAAAUUUGAAAUCUGGUCCUUGCGGCCCGAGUUGUAAUUUGCAGAGGAUGCUUUUGGCGCGGUGCCUUCCAAGUUCCCUGGAACGGGACGCCUUAGAGGGUGAGAGCCCCGUACGGUUGGACACCAAGCCUUUGUAAAGCUCCUUCGACGAGUCGAGUAGUUUGGGAAUGCUGCUCUAAAUGGGAGGUAUAUUUCUUCUAAAGCUAAAUACCGGCCAGAGACCGAUAGCGCACAAGUAGAGUGAUCGAAAGAUGAAAAGCACUUUGAAAAGAGGGUUAAACAGCACGUGAAAUUGUUAAAAGGGAAGCGCUUGUGACCAGACUUGCGCCCGGUGAAUCACCCAGCUCUCGCGGCUGGGGCACUUUGCCGGCUCAGGCCAGCAUCAGCUUGCCGUCGGGGACAAAAGCUUCGGGAACGUAGCUCUCUUCGGGGAGUGUUAUAGCCCGUUGCACAAUACCCUUCGGCGGGCUGAGGUACGCGCUCCGCAAGGAUGCUGGCAUAAUGGUCAUCAGCGACCC
rnacentral:rRNA from 1 species